GGUUGACCUCGAUCAGGUAGGGAUA
rnacentral:rRNA from 1 species